UGCGCCGAUAGUGUAAUGGAUCGCACACAAGAUUCCGGUUCUUGUAAUCUGGGUUCGACUCCCAGUUGGCGCAU
rnacentral:tRNA from 1 species